rnacentral:rRNA from 1 species
AACGAACGCUGGCGGCAGGCCUAAAACAUGCAAGUCGAACGAACCUUCGGGUUAGUGGCGCACGGGUGCGUAACGCGUGGGAAUAUCCCCUUCACUGCGGAACAACGUCGGGAAACUGACGCUAAUACCGCAUAAUGACUCCGGUCCAAAGAUUUAUCGGUGAAGGAUUAGCCCGCGUUAGAUUAGCUAGUUGGUGAGGUAAUGGCUCACCAAGGCGACGAUCUAUAGGGGGUCUGAGAGGAUGAUCCCCCACACUGGAACUGAGACACGGUCCAGACUCCUACGGGAGGCAGCAGUUAGGAAUAUUGGACAAUGGGGGCAACCCUGAUCCAGCCAUGCCGCGUGUGUGAAGAAGGCCUUAGGGUUGUAAAGCACUUUCAGCCGUGAAGAUAAUGACAGUAGCGGAAGAAGAAGCUCCGGCUAAAUUCGUGCCAGCCGCCGCAGUAAGAC